UAAGUAUUUUAAAGUAGUUUCUAAGCAAUCAAAAUAUGCAGCCAGGUUGAGAACUACUGAUGGCAGAGCGCUCAAUCCACAGAUGGGGACUAUUGGAUCUAUAGUCCUGAAUGGAGGAGAGCUGGAAUUUGACCAAAUAAACAUGAAGAUUUCAUCUUGGUUACUGAGUAGAUCAUAAGCUCAGAAUACAAACAUGAAUAAGGCAUUGCCUUUCAUCAGCAAGCUUGACUACAAUGGGUGAAAAGUUGAGUUAGAAAUCACAGCUUUUGAUGUUCUAUGACUGACAGUGGUUACCAGGCAAUCACAUUUAUUUAUUGACCUGUGGAGAAAAAUGGAUACUCUUGAGCUCUCCAUAAAGGCCUGCCUUCGAGCUCACUGAUUCAUUCUUCUGCUUGGUCAAUUCUACUAUUGAGGGAUGCUGCUAAAGAACAGCACCUUUAAGAAGAAGGAAGAAACAUGUAGGGGUAGUAAGAAUAAUUUGUCUACUGUUUGGCACUGCACU